rnacentral:rRNA from 1 species
ANGGAGCNANCCNNCCNNAGGNAANAAGGGNUUCGGCUNGUAAANNUCCGUUGGUAGNGAGAAAAAAAGAGGUAGUAGCUGCCCUUUAUUUGACGGUAAUACNUAGAAAGUCACGGCUAAUUACGUGCCAGCAGCCGCGGUAAUNNGUAGGUGGCAAGCGUUGUCCGGAUUUAUUGGGCGUAAAGCGAGUGCAGGCGGUUCAAUAAGUCUGAUGUGAAAGCCNUNGGCUCAACCGGAGAAUUGCAUCAGAAACUGUUGAACUUGAGUGCAGAAGAGGAGAGUGGAACUCCAUGUGUAGCGGUGGAAUGCGUAGAUAUAUGGAAGAACACCAGUGGCGAAGGCGGCUCUCUGGUCUGCAACUGACGCUGAGGCUCGAAAGCAUGGGUAGCGAACAGGAUUAGAUACCCUGGUAGUCCAUGCCGUAAACGAUGAGUGCUAAGUGUUGGGAGGUUUCCGCCUCUCAGUGCUGCAGCUAACGCAUUAAGCACUCCGCCUGGGGAGUACGACCGCAAGGUUGAAACUCAAAGGAAUUGACGGGGGCCCGCACAAGCGGUGGAGCAUGUGGUUUAAUUCGAAGCAACGCGAAGAACCUUACCAGGUCUUGACAUCCAGUGCAAACCUAAGAGAUUAGGAGUUCCCUUCGGGGACGCUGAGACAGGUGGUGCAUGGCUGUCGUCAGCUCGUGUCGUGAGAUGUUGGGUUAAGUCCCGCAACGAGCGCAACCCUUGUCAUUAGUUGCCAUCAUUAAGUUGGGCACUCUAAUGAGACUGCCGGUGACAAACCGGAGGAAGGUGGGGAUGACGUCAAGUCAUCAUGCCCCUUAUGACCUGGGCUACNCNCNNNNUUNCAAUGGACGGUACAACGAGAAGCGAACCUGCGAAGGCAAGCGGAUCUCUGAAAGCCGUUCUCAGUUCGGACUGUAGGCUGCAACUCGCCUACACGAAGCUGGAAUCGCUAGUAAUCGCGGAUCAGCACGCCGCGGUGAAUACGUUCCCGGGCCUUGUACACACCGCCCGUCACACCAUGAGAGUCUGUAACACCCAAAGCCGGUGGGAUAACCUUUAUAGGAGUCAGCCGUCUAAG